AGCCGUGUUUCGAGUUCCUCCGGAACACCCGGGAUUUUUCGUAUUUAGCCACGCCGGUCACGUGAUAUGAGCAAAAUGUUCCACAGGGGUACUUCCGGUUAAUUUUGUUUACACUGGUAACAAAAUUGUUUUUGACAAAAUAUAGAUUUUGCGGCACAAACUGUCGCAAAUCAGAUAAAGGAUAGCAAGGGAUAUAUAUUUACUUGGGAAGAUGUCAAAGUUUACCUUUUCCCAAACCCGGGAAAAGCGUUCACGCAGAGGAAACGAUGGCGUCAUUUGUGAAGAAAACCACGAGCAGCCGAAAUUGAGUGCGAUUAUUACAUUCCGUGAAAGCUGAACCAACAAAGGAACAUCAUUGUUCUAGCAAGUUUCCUUAUAUUAACUUUUAGGAAAACCAAGAGGUUGAUAACAAUGGCUGAUCUGCAUAUAAUGACUGCUAGUUAUUGGCUGGUAUGCAGUGAAAGGGAGCUAAAAAGGAGUAAAAAGUUCAUAUCAGCCAGGUGAGAAUUAAUUUCUUCUUUUUUGUGUGUUAUACAUAUGUAAUUCUUUUCUUUUGCUGCUUCAAAUCUUGUGUAUUUGAAAAUUUUCAGUCAAAUAUUUUGGCAAUGUUAUAGGUAGUGUGGCAUAAAUAAACCACUGUUAAGGAAUAUCCAGUAAUGGCAUGACAUCAUGAGAGUUUGGCAUACCGACAUUCAGAUGAUUAAUGAUGAAACUGAAGACCUCAAGUGAAAGGCAUGGAAAAUGAUCCUGUUCCCAUAUACCUGAAAAAGAGGAGGGAUGCCACAAUAUUGAUAAUAGACUUUUGUCAAUUUGAGAAGCAAAGAUGUAAAAAAAAAAAAAAAAAAAAAUAAUGCUGAAAUUAUAAUUCAUGUAUUUGUUAAAAAUACUGUUCACUGUACAUACAUGUAUAUUUUUUAAAACUUAUUUUUAAAUACAUGAAGUAAUUCAUAUUAAAACUGUGAAUGUAUGAG